rnacentral:sRNA from 1 species
CAUGCCCGCACCAUAAUCACCCCCACCCUCACCGG